rnacentral:tRNA from 1 species
GAAGUAGAGUACCUGAAACUGAACUUCUAAUUCAGCCUUCUAGUGGUGUAAUUCCAUUAAUACUUCU